rnacentral:snoRNA from 1 species
ACCCUCUAGUUCCCUUUCCCAUCGGAUCUGAACACUGGUCUUGGUGGUCGUACAAGGAGGAAAAGGAACACUGAAUCUGACCUCGGUGCUUUUGUAGCACGUGGGCUAGUUUCAAACAAGA